CUGACUCAUAAGUGCCUUGUGUUCCUUCGGAUCACUUUUCCCUCUUACAUAGUCAUCUUGUGUGACCCUGGGUACCACUCCUUCAGUACACUCCUUCCAGUGUGUCUCUAAUGACUGGAUCCUCACAAGAGUGCCUGUCUCCAGAGCUGGUGCUAUGAUACCCCAGCACUGCAGACUUUCAAGCUCCUUGCAUAUUGGAUUAUGUAGUCCCACUGGAAUUUUCCUUUGUGUUCAGACAGCCGGAACCUGAUAUGCUCUUGGAAUCAAGGAGAGACUCAUGAUGUCAUCACCACUGUCUGCUGUGUCAUCUCCCUCUUGCACAAGUCUAACUGAAUCUUUCUGAGACCUUUUUCUGAUCCUGCAUGCAAUGCUGUCCUAGUGUGGGGCACUUCUCCUUUACCCACUCAUGCUGUCUCCCACAAUAAAUGCA